rnacentral:rRNA from 1 species
CGGACGGGUGAGUAACACGUAUGUGACCUGACGCCUGGUGGGGGAUACCCGUCCGAAAGGGCGGCUAAUACCGCAUGUGGUCCCGGGGGGUGCCCGGGGACGAAAGCGUGCAAGCGUGCCAGGUGAGGGGCGUGCGGCCGAUUAGCUAGCUGGUGGGGUAACGGCCUACCAGGGCGACGAUCGGUAGCUGGGCUGAGAGGCCGAGCAGCCACACUGGGACUGAGACACGGCCCAG